AGCAAUUUGGACAAGAUACUGCAGUAUGGUGAAGAAACAGACACUGAUACCAUUUGGAACUGCUUGCAUCAACUCACUGUUCACUCAGCUGAAAAGUUGCAGGAUCUAAGUACACGUAUGGAAAAGAAACAACGUCCCAGCAUCAUCACCUCAAGAAGUAUGGCAGAAAUGCUACAUAGGUCUUUGGCUUAACUUGUCAAAUCUUCAAGCAAUAAACUAACAGAGUGCCGUGGAAGGAUCUCUGCCAAAGCAUUGUGACAUGCUCUGUUGGUUAACUUCCCCUCAAACAGAGCACAAGACAGAGUCAGCUCCCUUCCCAGGCACUUGGUGCUCCCAAAGCUCAAGGUACCUUUACUCUGGAUCUACAUCGG